UUUAAAUAAAGACUAGCCGAAUGUGUUAACGCUUAAGAUCCAGCUUGAUCCGAUAUUUAGCUUUUAGAAUAAAUGACUAGAAGUUGUCAUCCGUCCUCCACCACCGUCCUAAACAGCUGGUUCUGAAUGCAGUCCAGCUUCCUCUUGCGGCAGCGCUGAGCAGCGAUCCGGUUUUUGCUGCGCCUCCGGAUGUCAUGGAUGAACUCCAGCUGUUCUGAGGUCAGUUUGUGCAUCUUGAUGAGGACCUGGAAGUCGUUGCGAGGCAGGUUGGAGAUCUGAUCCACAGGGAACGGCAGCUUCACCUGAAAGAACCGAGGAGUUCAAUCUGAUCAGUGUAAGCCAAAUUCUCCGUCGCAGUAAGAACCAGGGCGCAGAAACUCUGACCUUAAACAAGAUCAAGAAUAGGAGAAAAUCCGCCGCAUGAAGGCAGGCUGAUGAUGGGUUCAGCGCUGCCUGGCGACUCGCUGUGUCCCAGCAGGACCUGUAGAAAGUAGCUGCUGCUGGCAGCCAGGACGGCCCGGUGGGCCCGGACCUCCCUGCCCUCCACCAGCACCGUGAC